UACGUAGGGGCAAGCGUUGUCCGGAAUCAUUGGGCGUAAAGCGCGUGUAGGCGGCCAGAAAAGUCCGCUGUGAAAACUCGAGGCUCAACUUCGAGCUGUCGGUGGAAACUUUCUGGCUAGAGUCCGGAAGAGGAGAAUGGAAUUCCUGGUGUAGCGGUGAAAUGCGCAGAUAUCAGGAAGAACACCCGUGGCGAAGGCGGUUCUCUGGGACGGUACUGACGCUGGAGACGCGAAAGCGUGGGGAGCGAACAGG
rnacentral:rRNA from 1 species